rnacentral:rRNA from 1 species
UACAGAGGGGGCAAGCGUUAUUCGGAAUUAUUGGGCGUAAAGGGUAGGUAGGUGGUCUCGUUUGUCUGGGGUGAAAGCCUUGAGCUCAACUCAAGAAGUGCCUCGGAAACGGCGAGACUAGAGUCCUGGAGAGGGUCGUGGAAUUCCCGGUGUAGCGGUGAAAUGCGUAGAGAUCGGGAGGAACACCAGAGGCGAAGGCGGCGACCUGGACAGGCACUGACACUCAACUACGAAAGCGUGGGGAGCAAACAGG